rnacentral:rRNA from 1 species
GACGAACGCUGGCGGCGUGCCUAAUACAUGCAAGUCGACCUUAGUGGCGAACGGGUGAGUAACACGUGGGUAACCUGCCCAUCAGAAGGGGAUAACACUUGGAAACAGGUGCUAAUACCGGAUACUGAUGGAUGGACCCGCGGUGCAUUAGCUAGUUGGGGAGGUAACGGCUCACCAAGGCCACGCUGCAUAGCCGACAUGGGAGGGUGAUCGGCAACAUUGGGACGGAGCCAAGGCCCAAACUCCUACGGGAGGAAGCAGUAGGGAAUCUUCGGACAGGGACGAAAGUCUGACCGAGCAACGCCGCGUGAGUGAAGAAGGUUUUCGGAUCGUAAAACUCUGUUGUUAGAGAAGCGGUAUCUAACCAGAAAGCCACGGCUAACUACGUGCCAGCAGCCGCGGUAAUUC